rnacentral:lncRNA from 1 species
CGCCGGUCUAUGAGUACAAAUCGCCGCCCCCCCCUCCGCCGGUUUACAAGUACAAAUCGCCGCCACCUCCUCCGCCUUACUACUACAAAUCUCCGCCUCCGCCUCCUCCCUACAAGUAUGAAUCGCCGCCUCCGCCUCCCUACAAGUACGAGUCGCCGCCUCCACCACCGUACUACUACAAAUCACCUCCGCCGCCCCCAUACAAGUAUGAAUCGCCGCCGCCACCACCAUACAAGUAUGAAUCGCCGCCGCCACCACCAUACAAGUAUGAAUCGCCUCCUCCACCACCAUAUAAGUACGAAUCGCCACCGCCACCACCAUACAAGUACGAGUCGCCUCCUCCACCUCCGUACAAGUAUGAAUCGCCUCCUCCCCCACCAUACUACUACAAAUCACCACCACCACCUCCUUACAAGUAUGAAUCUCCCCCUCCACCUCCAUAUUACUACAAAUCUCCACCCCCGCCACCACCUUACUACUACAAAUCACCACCACCACCUUCUCCUGUCUACAAAUAUAAAUCUCCACCACCACCACCUUACAAGUACGAAUCUCCUCCUCCACCUCCAUACUAUUACAAGUCUCCACCACCACCGCCGUAUUACUACAAGUCUCCACCACCACCACCUCCAGUUUACAAAUACAAAUCUCCUCCUCCGCCACCAUAUUACUACAAAUCACCACCUCCUCCAUCACCAGUAUAUUACUACAAAUCUCCUCCUCCACCAGCGUAUUACUACAAAUCUCCCCCACCGCCUGUCUACUAUUACAAAUCCCCGCCACCUCCAGCUUACCACUACCAAUCGCCACCCCCACCAAGUUACAAGCUGGUAGUGGUCACGGGCAAGGUCUAUUGCAACAGAUGCUGGAACACCACAAGCAGAUACCUUCAGGCAUCACCACAUGGGUCUGCUAGGUACAUUCUCAAUUGCAUUGUAUUCGAUAUUGUUCUCCUCACUCAUUUCCUCUUGAUACUGUGUGCAAUAAUGCAGGUGGCAAAGUGAAGAUCACAUGUGGCGAAUCUUACUACUACGGCUACACCAACAAGCAUGGAAUCUUUAGAAUUGAGCUCCCGCACCAAUCCUGGGAAGAAGCAAGCAGCUGCAAGGCCAAGAUUAUCAAGAGCAGCUACAUCAAGUCGUCAUGCAAUGUCAUCACGGACUACAGGUCUGGUGCAACAGGGGCCAAGCUCAAGUUCAAAUCGAAAACAGAGAAGGAGCUCGUCUUGACAGCCGGUCCUUUCAUCUAUGCAACUCCAGAGCCAUCGUCAGUCUGCUUCUACACAUCACCUCCCUAUGAGUACAAGUCACCUCCGCCACCAACACCGGUCUACCAUUACGCCUCUCCGCCACCUCCGGUCUACUACUACAAAUCGCCACCUCCUCCUUCACCGGUUUACUACUACAAAUCCCCUCCUCCUCCUUCGCCGGUCUACUAUUACAAAUCCCCGCCUCCACCACCAUACUAUUACAAGUCCCCACCUCCACCUCCGCCUAAGUAUUACUACAAGUCGCCCCCACCACCGUCUCCAUACUAUUACAAAUCCCCGCCCCCUCCACCGUACUAUUACAAAUCCCCACCACCACCUCCCUACAAAUACGAAUCGCCGCCGCCUCCUCCUUACAAAUACGAGUCCCCACCUCCACCACCUUACUAUUACAAGUCCCCACCACCACCUCCAUACAAAUAUGAAUCCCCGCCACCUCCAGUCUACAAAUAUGAGUCUCCGCCACCCCCAGUUUACAAAUACAAGUCGCCACCACCACCAUACAAGUACGAGUCACCACCACCACCUCCAUACAAGUAUGAAUCCCCGCCACCUCCACCUUAUUACUACAAGUCCCCUCCACCACCACCAUACAAGUACGAGUCGCCACCACCUCCUCCGUACAAGUAUGAAUCUCCACCACCACCAGUUUACAAAUACAAGUCACCUCCGCCGCCACCUUAUUACUACAAAUCCCCACCGCCACCUCCAUACAAGUACGAGUCUCCACCUCCUCCUCCGUACAAGUAUGAAUCUCCACCACCACCACCUUAUUACUACAAAUCCCCCCCGCCACCUCCAUACAAGUACGAGUCACCGCCUCCUCCUCCGUACAAGUAUGAAUCUCCACCACCGCCAGUUUACAAAUACAAGUCACCCCCGCCACCACCUUAUUACUACAAAUCCCCGCCACCACCUCCAUACAAGUACGAGUCUCCACCUCCUCCUCCGUACAAGUAUGAAUCUCCACCACCACCUCCUUAUUACUACAAAUCCCCGCCGCCACCUCCCUACAAGUAUGAAUCCCCGCCACCACCUCCCUACAAAUACGAGUCACCUCCACCACCACCUUACUAUUACAAAUCUCCUCCACCGCCUCCAUACAAGUAUGAGUCGCCACCACCACCAGUCUACAAAUACGAGUCUCCGCCACCCCCAGUUUACAAAUACAAGUCGCCCCCUCCACCUUAUUACUACAAGUCUCCGCCACCCCCGCCAUACAAAUAUGAAUCCCCACCUCCACCUCCCUACAAGUAUGAAUCGCCUCCUCCUCCACCUUACUACUACAAGUCCCCUCCACCACCUCCCUACAAAUAUGAAUCCCCGCCACCACCUCCCUAUAAAUACGAGUCACCACCACCACCACCUUACUAUUACAAAUCUCCUCCACCGCCUCCAUACAAGUAUGAGUCGCCACCACCACCUCCCUACAAAUACGAGUCACCACCACCACCACCUUACAAGUAUGAAUCCCCACCUCCACCUCCGUACAAGUAUGAAUCACCUCCACCGCCUCCAUACAAGUAUGAAUCCCCUCCUCCACCUCCCUACAAAUACGAGUCACCACCCCCACCACCUUAUUACUACAAAUCGCCUCCGCCACCGGAGUAUCAAUCACCUCCUUACGUGUAUAAAUCUCCACCUCCACCCUCGUACUAGGAGCUAAGGAGCAUUUGAUUUUCAGGUGAGAAAUCUAUAGAACCACAGUUCCUAGUUUUAACAAGUUUUCAAAUUCAU